GCAAAACUUUCUUCUCUAAAAUUUAGUUUUGAGUUAUUAGAUAUACAAUUGUGCAUGACUGUCAAAGCCAUUGUGAUUAUUCUAAUGUUUAAUUCAAUAAAGACUUCAACUGAGCAGCUUCUAUUAGAAAUUUCUUCAUUGGGUAUUUUCAGACAGAUGUACUGAAAGCAUCACUUGCUGGAGAUGCCACCAUUGGAAGCAUGGCAAUAUCAACAUGCCUGGGAGUGGAUAUGUACUGCUACAUCAUGUGAUGGGUGAAACUGAUGGUGAUCGUAACGUUUGGUCACAUGUUGAAGGUGGAAUGGUGCAGUAAGCCUGGCCAUAAAUAGAGCUGCUAAGGAAGUUGGUGUUCAUCUCGAAACAAAUGCUGAGGU